rnacentral:lncRNA from 1 species
UUUAGGUAUUUCUCCUACUAUCCAGACGAUCUACGCAUGCUGUGAAUCACAUCUGUUUGGGAAAGAACAAUCUGUGGUUUUUGCAGUCACAUACAUUGCUCCGGAGCAAAGCGAAGAAAGACACAAUCUCGCUUCCCAAUAUCUUCACCUAGGACAAGAGCUCCAGCAUUAUCUGUCCUCAUUCUCUCCACAUCUUAUUGUGUGCAGAGAUUUCAAUGCUC